rfam:Vibrio genomosp. F6 str. FF-238 FF-238_contig_120, whole genome shotgun sequence.
CAUACCAAACAACUGUUCUUUUUUGACUUAUUUUUUCUUCCAUAACUGGGGGCGAACUCGUUUUCGAAAGAAAAGUCAAAAACGAACAGAAGCCUCCCAAAAUGGGGGGCUUUUUUAUA